CCCUUAGAUGUCCUGGGCUGCACGCGCGCUACACUGGAAGUUACGGAUUGAGAUACUACCUUGUCCGAAAUGGUCCGGGUAAUCACCUAAAAGCUUGUCAUAAUUGGAAUGGAUUAUUGUAACUAGUAAUCCUGAACGAGGAAUUCCUAGUAAGUCCCAGUCAACAGCUGGUACUGAUUACGUCCCUGCCCUUUGUACACACCGCCCGUCGCUACUACUGAUUGAGUGGUCCGGUGAGGCUUUGGGAUCUGAGCGGAAAGAGCGUUUCGCUGUUUCUGCUCGGAAAACUCAGUCGAACCUUAUCAUUUAGAGGAAGGAGAAGUCGUAACA
rnacentral:rRNA from 1 species